CGGGGGGAGCAAGCGUUGUUCGGAUUUACUGGGCGUAAAGGGCGCGUAGGCGGUCGUGACAAGUCACUUGUGAAAUCUCCGGGCUUAACUCGGAACGGUCAAGUGAUACUGUCGGACUAGAGUACAGAAGGGGCAACUGGAAUUCUCGGUGUAGCGGUGAAGUGCGUAGAUAUCGAGAGGAACACCUGCGGCGAAGGCGGGUUGCUGGGCUGAUACUGACGCUGAGGCGCGAAAGCCAGGGGAGCGGACGGGAUUAGAUACCCCGGUAGUCCUGGCCUUAAACGAUGAAUGCUUGGUGUCUCGGGUUAUAAAGUCCCGGGGUGCCGUCGCUAACGCUUUUAGCAUUCCGCCUGGGGAGUACGGUCGCAAGACUG
rnacentral:rRNA from 1 species